UAGCUCAGUGGUUAAGAGCACUGGCUGCUUUUCCAGAGGUCCUGAGUUCAAUUCUCAG
rnacentral:tRNA from 1 species